AUUGAACGCUGGCGGCAGGCCUAACACAUGCAAGUCGAGCGGAUGAAGGGAGCUUGCUCCUGGAUUCAGCGGCGGACGGGUGAGUAAUGCCUAGGAAUCUGCCUGGUAGUGGGGGAUAACGUCCGGAAACGGGCGCUAAUACCGCAUACGUCCUGAGGGAGAAAGUGGGGGAUCUUCGGACCUCACGCUAUCAGAUGAGCCUAGGUCGGAUUAGCUAGUUGGUGGGGUAAAGGCCUACCAAGGCGACGAUCCGUAACUGGUCUGAGAGGAUGAUCAGUCACACUGGAACUGAGACACGGUCCAGACUCCUACGGGAGGCAGCAGUGGGGAAUAUUGGACAAUGGGCGAAAGCCUGAUCCAGCCAUGCCGCGUGUGUGAAGAAGGUCUUCGGAUUGUAAAGCACUUUAAGUUGGGAGGAAGGGCAGUAAGUUAAUACCUUGCUGUUUUGACGUUACCAACAGAAUAAGCACCGGCUAACUUCGUGCCAGCAGCCGCGGUAAUACGAAGGGUGCAAGCGUUAAUCGGAAUUACUGGGCGUAAAGCGCGCGUAGGUGGUUCAGCAAGUUGGAUGUGAAAUCCCCGGGCUCAACCUGGGAACUGCAUCCAAAACUACUGAGCUAGAGUACGGUAGAGGGUGGUGGAAUUUCCUGUGUAGCGGUGAAAUGCGUAGAUAUAGGAAGGAACACCAGUGGCGAAGGCGACCACCUGGACUGAUACUGACACUGAGGUGCGAAAGCGUGGGGAGCAAACAGGAUUAGAUACCCUGGUAGUCCACGCCGUAAACGAUGUCGACUAGCCGUUGGGAUCCUUGAGAUCUUAGUGGCGCAGCUAACGCGAUAAGUCGACCGCCUGGGGAGUACGGCCGCAAGGUUG
rnacentral:rRNA from 1 species